rnacentral:rRNA from 1 species
GAAGGUGGACUGUGAGGUCUGCUGGAGGUAUCAGAAGUGCGAAUGCUGACAUAAGUAACGAUAAAGCGGGUGAAAAGCCCGCUCGCCGGAAGACCAAGGGUUCCUGUCCAACGUUAAUCGGGGCAGGGUGAGUCGACCCCUAAGGCGAGGCCGAAAGGCGUAGUCGAUGGGAAACAGGUUAAUAUUCCUGUACUCGGUGUUACUGCGAAGGGGGGACGGAGAAGGCUAUGUUGGCCGGGCGACGGUUGUCCCGGUUUAAGCAUGUAGGCGGAGGUUCCAGGUAAAUCCGGUACCUUUUCAACGCUGAGGUGUGAUGACGAGGCACUACGGUGCUGAAGCAACAAAUGCCCUGCUUCCAGGAAAAGCCUCUAAGCAUCAGGUAACAUCAAAUCGUACCCCAAACCGACACAGGUGGUCAGGUAGAGAAUACCAAGGCGCUUGAGAGAACUCGGGUGAAGGAACUAGGCAAAAUGGUGCCGUAACUUCGGGAGAAGGCACGCUGAUAUGUAGGUGAAGCCCCUGCGGGUGGAGCUGAAAUCAGUCGAAGAUACCAGCUGGCUGCAACUGUUUAUUAAAAACACAGCACUGUGCAAACACGAAAGUGGACGUAUACGGUGUGACGCCUGCCCGGUGCCGGAAGGUUAAUUGAUGGGGUUAGCGGCAACGCGAAGCUCUUGAUCGAAGCCCCGGUAAACGGCGGCCGUAACUAUAACGGUCCUAAGGUAGCGAAAUUCCUUGUCGGGUAAGUUCCGACCUGCACGAAUGGCGUAAUGAUGGCCAGGCUGUCUCCACCCGAGACUCAGUGAAAUUGAAAUCGCUGUGAAGAUGCAGUGUACCCGCGGCAAGACGGAAAGACCCCGUGAACCUUUACUAUAGCUUGACACUGAACACUGGUCCUUGAUGUGUAGGAUAGGUGGGAGGCUUUGAAGCGUGGACGCCAGUCUGCGUGGAGCCAACCUUGAAAUACCACCCUUUAAUGGCUGGUGUUCUAACGUGGACCCGUUACCCGGGUUGCGGACAGUGUCUGGUGGGUAGUUUGACUGGGGCGGUCUCCUCCUAAAGAGUAACGGAGGAGCACGAAGGUUAGCUAAUCCUGGUCGGACAUCAGGAGGUUAGUGCAAUGGCAUAAGCUAGCUUGACUGCGAGAGUGACGGCUCGAGCAGGUGCGAAAGCAGGUCAUAGUGAUCCGGUGGUUCUGUAUGGAAGGGCCAUCGCUCAACGGAUAAAAGGUACUCCGGGGAUAACAGGCUGAUACCGCCCAAGAGUUCAUAUCGACGGCGGUGUUUGGCACCUCGAUGUCGG